rnacentral:rRNA from 1 species
GGGGGAACUGAAACAUCUAAGUACCCCGAGGAAAAGAAAUCAACCGAGAUUCCCCCAGUAGCGGCGAGCGAACGGGGAGGAGCCCAGAGCCUGAAUCAGUGUGUGUGUUAGUGGAAGCGUCUGGAAAGGCGCGCGAUACAGGGUGACAGCCCCGUACACAAAAAUGCACAUGCUGUGAGCUCGAUGAGUAGGGCGGGACACGUGGUAUCCUGUCUGAAUAUGGGGGGACCAUCCUCCAAGGCUAAAUACUCCUGACUGACCGAUAGUGAACCAGUACCGUGAGGGAAAGGCGAAAAGAACCCCGGCGAGGGGAGUGAAAAAGAACCUGAAACCGUGUACGUACAAGCAGUGGGAGCCUCUUUAUGGGGUGACUGCGUACCUUUUGUAUAAUGGGU